rnacentral:sRNA from 1 species
GGAUGUGAGGGUGAUCUGGCUGCAUCAUCUGUCACCCCACUGACCCCCAGGCUUGACUUGGCCCAUCUUGCUGGCUAGGAGGGCGUCCCCUUUCUUCCUCAGUGCUUCAUGUGCUACCUUCCUGAAGCUAUGCCUUCCGUCAACGAUGACUACCCAUGACAGAAGAGGACCAAGCCUUGGCCAAGUGUACAAGCAGCUCUGCUCCCUGCUAGAAGCUCCAGCUGAGCUCUCAAGCCUCAUCACAUAUAU